rnacentral:rRNA from 1 species
CAGUCGCCGCGGUAAUACGUAGGUGGCAAGCGUUGUCCGGAAUUAUUGGGCGUAAAGGGCUCGCAGGCGGUUUCUUAAGUCUGAUGUGAGAGCCCCCGGCUCAACCGGGGAGGGUCAUUGGAAACUGGGAAACUUGAGUGCAGAAGAGGAGAGUGGAAUUCCACGUGUAGCGGUGAAAUGCGUAGAGAUGUGGAGGAACACCAGUGGCGAAGGCGACUCUCUGGUCUGUAACUGACGCUGAGGAGCGAAAGCGUGGGGAGCGAACAGGAUUAGAUACCCGAGUAGUCCCUGUCUCUUAUAC